rnacentral:tRNA from 1 species
GGUUUUAUAGUCAAAUGAUGAUAUUAGAUUGCAAGUCUAAAGUUGUAUUAUUACUAAAGCUU